rnacentral:misc_RNA from 1 species
UCGAUACCUGUCCAAAACAGAACGACCCGCGAACCAACGAUCACCACUCUCGGUGGGCCGGUUUCUUAACCGAUCCCGUGCUCGCCGGAUCCGUGGUUUCGCGUAUCGCCCUGGUCGGGGGCUUUAUCUCGGUCUUGUCGUGCGCGUUGCUUCCGGAUAUCACAAAACCCCGGCACGAAAAGUGUCAAGGAACAAGCAAACGAACGGCUGGCAUUCGCCUCCCCGGAGACGGUGUGUGCGCGGAUGCUGUGCUGCGAUAUAAAGUCU